ACGGCUCAGUAACACGUCGAUAAUCUUCCCUUUGGUCAAGGAUAAUCUCGGGAAACUGAGAACAACACUUGAUAGGAUAUAAAUUCUGGAAUGAAUUAUNAACUCAAAGGUAACGCCAAAGGAUGAGUCGGCGGCAGAUUUAGGUUGUUGGUGAGGUAAUGGCUCACCAAGCCAAAGAUCUGUACGGGCCGUGAGAGCGGUAGCCCGGAGAAGGACACUGAGAUACUGGUCCUAGCCCUACGGGGUGCAGCAGGCGCGAAAACUUUACAAUGCACGAAAGUGUGAUAAGGGAAUCCUAAGUGCUCAUACACAGUAUGGGCUUUUGCCAAGGGUAAAUACCUUGGAGAAUAAGCGGUGGGAAAGACUGGUGCCAGCAGCCGCGGUAACCCCAGCGCCGCAAGUGGGGACCUUUUUAUUGGGCCUAAAGCGUCCGUAGCUGGUUGUGUAAAUCUCUUGUGAAAUUGUCAGCCUCAAUCUGACAGCAUGCAGGAGACACUGCAUUACUAGAGACCGGGAGAGGUAAGGAGUAUUUCGGGGGAACCGGUAAAAUGGGAUAAUCCCCGAAAGACUACCUGUGGCGAAGGCGCCUUACCAGAACGGAUCUGACAGUGAGGGACGAAGGCUAGGGGAGCAAACCGGAUUAGAUACCCGAGUAGUCCUAGCAGUAAACGCUGCGAGCCAGGCGUUGCAUAUUCUAGUGAAUAUGCAGUGUCGAAAUGAAGAUGUUAAGCUCGCCGCCUGGGAAGUAUGGUCGCAAGACUGAAACUUAAAGGAAUUGGCGGGGGAGCAC
rnacentral:rRNA from 1 species